rnacentral:ribozyme from 2 species
UCAAUAACUUCGACUGUAGCCCCUCUGGGGGCUACUGCCGGUCCCAAGCCCGGAUAAAGGAGGACGGUUGG